GAGCCAGCACCAGUCUCAUCCAAUGGAAAAGUGACUGUCUUUUAUGACAAAGAGAUCCCAGCAGGAAGACAUAUCGAAGGAGGUGCAAUAAAACCUGAUAUUUUCACCUGGAAUGAGCAAGAAAGAAGCCAAGAUUAUUAAUGUAACCGUCCCCAAUGACUAUGGCCUGAAUAGGGCUGAAAGGGGAAAGAUCACAAAAAAUGACCUACGAACAACAUGAUCAUUGAAAGAAAUAGAAAUAGUUGUGUUGGGGGCAACAAGGUUUAUGAAGAAGAACCUGAAGAAAUACGUUGAGGUAAUUCGUGGUCACCCAAGUGCCCAUGAGGUGCAGUUAUCAGCAAUUAAGGGAACAGUCACCAUCUUCAAGAGAUCACUUGUACAGAAUGCCACCAAUGUUUAGGGUGCAACUAUAGACCCUGGGUCUGGGGCCCAUAGCAUUCUUUUAAAAAGAAAUCCAACAGAAAUGA